AAAUACAAAAUAGGAAAUACAAUAACAAAAGACUCAGCAUUACUGUACAAAACUAGAGGGUAAAAGACGACAUAAAAGAAAAACAAACUCAACACAUAAAAAAAUCUCCUUAAGCAACUCCUGGAUGAGCGAUCCUGACUGGAUGGUCCCGGGGUGUCUGCCAUGCUCAAACUCCGGUAAAUAGACUCACACCUGUAUGAGAAAAUUAAGAACAAAUAAAGUUAAAGACCUACAACACUAUGUGAGACAAUAACACCCCCUAUUGGAUGCAUGCAAGACAUGAUUGAGACUAUUUUUGCAAAAUGACUUAUGUGGCUAAAAUACAAGAUUUGGCUAAGAUCCCGCAAAGCCAAGAACCUAAGACUCACUAGGAAUAUCGAACCCUAUGUGGGUUGCCUACGUAUCAUGCCCCGAAAGACGAAAAUCAGGUAUUCGUAGUUCGGGCAGAUUGGAUACGGUCGAGAAUUCAAAAAAAAUAACUAAUUUAGAGAAAACAUAUUUAUUGUCUCUUUUUUUAAAAAAAUAAAUGAUGAAACGUGUAAACUCUUUUUAGAUUUUCUUUUUCCCUUUUUUUGAUUUUUUUUUUUUUUUUGGAAAAUGAUGGGAAAGUGCAAAAUCUUUAUGGAUUUUUCAUAUAUUUUUUUCUCUUAAGAAAAAGUGAAAAGAAAAACAUAACUAGGCCCUACUUGCUUUAUUUUCACGCUUCACCUUUUUUCUUUCUCAUUUACCCUUUGCCAUCAUUGGUCCGACAAAUGACUCUUUUACCCUUAAAGAAAUGCAACAUGUAGCACAUAGGAUGCAUCAGGAUGGUCUUUUAUUUUUGGGUACACUUGUCCUAAACGGACUCAACCCCUGUGUUGAGUCUCCUAAGUCUAGUGCAUGUGAUGCAAAAAAACUUUCCUACUAGGGAUUCAACAUGAGGUUAUGUUAUUCUAGGUUUAAACCUGGGGUUGUGUUCUUGACCUGGCUUACCCGAGUGGACAACUCGAUCCGAAGAGAGGGCAACAUACCGGGAGCACGAAAGUCUACUCGGCCUUGUUGUUGGACCAGCCUCGUUCUUAUUUGGUAUAAUUUCUAUCAGAAAAAGUGGGCCACGCGAACGUGUGCACCAUUUUUAGAAGACUCAGAGGGGUGGCGCAAGAAGGCAUUUUAAUACAAUUCAAACAAUAUCGAAAUGGUAAAUAAAUAACAAUUAGCACAUUAGGUUCACAAAGUACAAUAAUAUUAACAAUAAAUAAAGCCAAGUAAAAAUCAUAUCAACAAGCUCGAAUUCUGAAUCCUGAAUCCUGAACUAGAAGUUCUGGGUUCUUCUCCCCAACAGAGUCGCCAGAGUUGUCACACCUCCUUUUUCACACCCGGAACGGGGUACAGGGGAGUUUUUUCCAAUUUAAGUGGCAAUCAAAAUGGGAUUAUUUAUAUUAAAUUUAGAGUCACCACUUGGGAUAAUUUACAGUGUCCCAAGUCACCAGUUUAAAAUCACGAAUCAAGGAAGUUGACUCUUAUUUAUGGUCUGCGAACACAGAAAUUCGGGUAAGGAAUUUGUUAACCCGGGAGAAGGUGUUAGGUAUUCCCGGGUUCCGUAGUUUUAGCACGGUAGCUUUCAUCAUACUUGGCUUAAUCAAAUUCUCUGAUUACUCAUUUUAAAACCUAUGGGCAUUUGCCUCUUUUAAUUAAGAAAUUAUCUUAAAACAUGUCACGCGUACGUGUACCCAUUUGCUUGGCGCGUCAAAAAUCACGUCACGCAAACAUGUCCACAAUUAAUAACGCUUUGUUAUGAUUAAUAAAGUUCAGUCGAAGUUGCAUGAACACAUACCCCAAUUUAUUUUUAAAAAAUCGUAAUUAUAUCACACGAACAUAUACACAAUCACGAUAUAUAGAUUGAGUACAUGCCUAAAGCAUACUACAGAUUUGUGAGUUAUAUUAUUUUCUACGUUAAGAUUAUUGAGGCUUACGGGUUAUGGAAAUUGAAAUUACGGGAGCAAAAUUAAGGCUUAUUUGAAAAUUGUUCAUAAGAAACAACGCAUGUAGGGGCGACAUUAAAAUUCUAGACAUGACAAGUGAUAGCUUCACCUCUACAUUAUCCGGGAAACUUGAACAUAAAAGAACAAAGAUAAAUUCUAUAGUUUACCAAUCUCACCCAAUUUUAACAUUAAAACAAAUAAAUUUUGGAAGUCCUAACUGCAUGACUGUCUGCCAAUAUUUCCUGCAAAUCCACCUUAAUAGCCCAGCCCAUGGAGAAAAAUGGCUACUUAGACCAAUAAUGAAAUUCUACAACCAAGUAAGAAAAAAUAAUCGGAGAAAACACAUCUCCUUCAUACAGGUUUCAUAAGGAGCAAAAUAAGUAGUUAUUAACACUGUGACAAAACAAAACCAAAUGGAAACAGCACACACACACACCACUGUGUAGACCAAAAAUCCGGCAGAUCUUCAUUCAAUAUCAAGAUACACAAAGAAGGAUCAUUAAAAUUUAAUUAAGAACUAACCCAAAAUCCUAGUAGAGGAGAUCGAACCCAACCCCAAAAUAGAGAAUCGGAACUGAAGCUAACGAAUGGAAACUCUGACAAAACUCGAACUCAACGGCAAUAGGACCCAACUUCAGAGACUGGAACCAUGACCAAACAGCUACUCGCACUUGAACGGUUUGAAAGCUAUUUACGAGGUGUGGCUGCUGCUAUGUGUGUUUUAGUAGAAAUGAAAAAAGGGGGUCAAUGUCCAUUAACUUCUAUCCAGUGGUCAUUUUUGGUGUUCGAUUUUGUGAAGAAGAAGGGGUAACGGUUAUGGGGGGUCUGAUCUUUGGAGUUGUCGUUGGAUGAGGAAGAUGAAUAGGGUGGGGGUCCUAAAUUCCAGCAGCUGUUUUUUUAGUCUUAGGUCUCCUCUUGUGUUAGAAUCUGAUGAAGUUAGGGUGUGUCUAUUGCUAGUUUUAGGGGUGAUGGGUUUUUGGUUAUGAAGAUGGAAGAAGAGAGCACGAGUCAUUGGUUUGGUUAAGGAGAAGCCAUGGAAAUUUGGCUCUUUUUCUCUGAAGAAGAAGAAGAUCGAUAGGGUGUGUGGGGUCUUGGUGUAAAACGGAGGAUCUCUUGACUGUAUAGGUCUAGGCCUUCUUUUUAUUAGGGAUUCUAGAUUUUAGGUUAUUAGGGUUAGCUUAGUGGGUAUUGGUCUUGGGUAUCUAUGGGCUAGGUCCGAAAUUAGGCCUAAAAUGGAUCGUUUGAGCCCAAAUUUUAUUCUUUCUUCGCGAACGAGACUAAAAAUGCGACCUCAUCUACUAAUUAAUCUUACUUAAGUAAAAUAACUAUUAAAAUAAAACUAACCGAUAAAACAAACCUACUUUUUUUGGUAUUUUCAAAUAUCAUAUUAAAAUAAAAAUAAGGUACUAUUUUUGUAUAUUUGUUUUAGUUUUACGAAAGGUUUAUAAACUAAAAGCAACUAAAAAAAGAGGAAAUAUUUUUGUAAUUUAUAUUUUUGUGACGAAAUAAAGUAAAAGAGUCAAAAUUAGUUGAAAUAACUAUAUUAGACCUAAACUAAGUAUUUAAAUGCUAAAAUCUUGAGGAGGGUCAAAAAU
rnacentral:lncRNA from 1 species